rnacentral:lncRNA from 1 species
UUUUUUUUUUUUCCACUUGUGUAUUUUGAUGCCUAUUAUUUUGUGACGCUAUUAUGGCUUUAGAAUUGGACCAGCCGCAUCCUGGAUUCAUGACAGCCUCUGACCCCUACUCCCAGAGCCCUGCCUUUUUUUAUAUGUGUAUGUACUCACCCACGAAUGCAUUCCUCUACUUAACACCUGUUCCUUUUUCCUCCCAAUGUCAUGAUUUGGAGUUAGACAUCUUAUUUUUCUCUCUCUCUCUCUCUCUCUUUUUUUUUUUUUUUUUUUUUUUUUUUUUUGUCUUUUUGCCAUUUCUUUGGGCCACUCCCGCGGUAUAUGGAGGUUCCCAGGCUAGGGGUCAAAUCAGAGCUAUAGCCACCACCCUAUGCCAGAGCCACAGCAACACGGGAUCCGAGCCGCAUCUGCAACCUACACCACAGCUCACGGCAACACCGGAUCCUUAACCCACUGAGCAAGGGCAGGGACCGAACCUGCAACCUCAUGGUUCCUAGUCGGAUUCGUUAACCACUGCGCCACGACGGGAACUCCAUUCUCUCUCUUUUUAAUCCUUUCGUGGAACCUCAGUGCCCGGGAGCAGAUGACUCGAAGCCCCUCCUGCCAAUGCUCCCAUCUGGGCCCAGGGAUGUCCGCUGCUCACUCAUCCCUUUGGUGGUCCCUCUGCUUUCUUUCGUUUGGGCAUUUACUUAUCUACACGGGCCCAGAGUCGGAAAACUUUAGGCUAAAGUUAACCCUCAUCGUUGGUUCCCUGGGUCCUUUUCCAGCUCAUCUUUUUCCAGAACUCUCCGUCUGCAGGUUCUUCCCUUUUUUGUGCCGGGAGUAUGCAUUUGGAGUCAUCCUAAUGCUUGGCUCAUAAUCACGUGACCCUGUCCUCCAUAGAGACGUCCUCGCCCCCUAAUUUUAAAAAUACUCAUUUUGGGGGCUCUCUCCGUGCCUCCCCCUUUCAGUCACUCCUUCCCUCUCCUGCACCGUCUCCCCGCUGGGCCUCAUCAUCUCAUUGUCACCCCUGGUUUACGCGUGUCCACCUCUAACUCAUUCUUUCUUCCAUCUAGGUUUUAUCCUUUAAUGACAAACUUCAGGUGCCCGAUACCCAAAGUUCACGGGUCUCUCCGCCCACGAUGACCUGACCUUGCUUCCGACGUGGCCCUAUGUCUAUCCCGAGUCCCGACUUCCUGACACAACCACUGACGUCCUGGGCAUCGGUGGGCUCUCACUCAGGGCACACUCUCACCCGGGCUUGAUUCCUUCUCUCCCUGUUUCUCUGUUUGCUCAUUCCUGCAUGCUUUCAUCCACGGAUGCAUCCAUUCGCUUGUUUGGACCAGGUCACACCUCCCAGCCGUGACCUCCCAACCAGAAUAGAACCUUCACAGUAUCUCUGACCUCCCAGCUCCUCCCACUGAAUUAACCGCCCAGGUGCACACAACCCACGGUCCCCAACACAUACGCAUGGCAGGUGCAGGCGCAGGCACAGGAAAUGUUAGUGCAGCCAGAACCCGCCCCCACCGCCCCAGGGGCUCAUAUCCUACACAGAGGGGGUGGGGGUGGGUGGGGGUGGCAGAUCUGCAAUUAGGGCGGGAUGCCCCAGUCCCCGCUUCCCCAGGCCCCCUUCGGGGGGGCAGGCGCUUCCCCCUGGACCCCUGUGAAUGGCCAUCCCCAGGAGAAACCCGUUUCAAGACCCGAGAGCACACAGACACACACACGGCGGACACCGUCUCCCCGGUGGCCAACGACGGACAGAGUUCAUCUUAAAAUAGACGGCUUUGUCUGGAGCGAUAUAAAAAUAUUUUGGCCUUUCAGGGCAAAUACAAAAGGAACUACCCAUUAGCACUGCUGAGUGUCUCAGUCCCAAACAAUAAAGAACUUUGAAGAGGUUUAGCCGGAAACUUUGAAGACAGAAAAUCUGUCCAUUCUGUUUUCCAGACAAUUCAAGGAGGAGGGGGACGCGAAGGUCACUGGAGCGCCGAGCCCGUUCGAGAGGCUGGUCCCUCGGCCCUUGGAAGGGCCCCCCAGCAAGGCCACUUGCAUCCUAGCCUGCCCUGCGGCACAAGAGCCAAAGGGAGACUCGGUCAUGAAAGGGCCAUUCACGUGGCGCAGUGGGCACUGGAGGCCGCCUCGGGAACUCUUUGGCCGUGGAGGAGACACAGGAGCCUGAGGUCCGGCCUCAGAACACAAGCCCCCAGGGCCGCCCCUGGCUUGGCUCUCUGGGCACCCACCUCCCGUGAGCGGACCGCCACCCAGCGCUCACCACUCCCUCUCACCAGGCUGUUCUGGGUGGCAACCUGCCACCCUUGGUGACCAGCUACCAAUGUGCUCCCCACACCCCAGCAACUUACGAUUUCAGAGCUGGAGGGUGCAGGAGCCACAUGUCUGAGGUCCCUUCCGACGGAGGACACAGAUGAUGGCUUCAGCUGGAACGAGAAAGCACCAGGUUACUGAAACAGAAUCUGGCCCAGCGGAGGCAGGGCCGCCCCAACUCACAGCAGGCGAGGAGCUCCACGGCUAGCGCUCACUUGCUCUCACCUGCCCAGCGCCCCAGCCCGGCAUCCCCCACAUCUGGGGCAGGGGUGAUGGCAUAGAACACGCCUCCCGGGUAGGGUUGGCUGGCGCUUCCUGUGAUGCCAAGCACUGUUCUGUGGAACCCAAAGGUUUAGGGCCACCGCCUGCGUGAGAGCUGAGCUGGAUACACCGAAAGCCAAGCUGGAAGGCUUCCUGGAAGGGAGGGUGCCGUGGAGGCACGGCCAAGCCAGUGUUAGUGCUCAGGGGGCAGCAGCAACUGGGCAGCUGGCCUUGGAUGAGACUAGGGAAGUGGGUCGUGGGGUCUUUCGUGGGCCGUGGGUCCUGAAACUGCAGGAUGGAAGAGGAGAGACGAUGCUGCCCAGACAAAGGUGUAUGCAUUUCCAGUAGCACCACGGACAAGCCACGACCAGGCACAACCAGUCUCUGACCUCGAGCAUCUGCCUUAAAAUUGUUUUUAAAAAAUGAGUUGAAUAAUGAUAGACCCAGGUUUUUAUAUCUGUCAAAACCCAUGGAUGGUAGGACACAAAGAGUGACCCCCUAACGAUGUAAACAACAGACUCGAGUUAAUAGCGGUUAUCAAGGUUGGCUCAUCAACUCGAACGCCUGCGCCACAUUAAUGUGAAUGGGGGAGAAAGGGGGCGGGGGGAUGAUGAGAAUUCCCUGCACGCGCCCCUCUCUCUGCAAAUCUAAAAUGACUCAGGACGGCCCUGAUGCCCUCAGGGGUUGAGGGCUCCACGCCGUCACCGCUGUGGCUCGGGUUUGAUCCCUGGCCCAGGCACUUCUGCAUGCUGUGGGCGUGGCAGACAUAGAUAAAUAAUGCAACUGCUCAGGAAAAUAAAGCGUCAUUUUUUUUUUUUUAAUAUUUUAAGGGAGUGGAUUUUGGCUAGUGCAGGGGGGUAGGCAUGGCUGACAGGAGGUGGCUGACGGCUGAGGUGUGAACAGCACUGGAAGGUGUGACUCACUCACUGGGGCACCCAAGACGCGGCCAGGGCACGGGACACCCGCCUCUCACUUCCUGUGCUCCUAAGAAUUCCCUCCCUGGCCUUGAGCUUCCCAAACGCUGCUCUCCCUCAAUUGCUUGAGUUUACAACCAAGAAACACGAAGUCUUUAAAAUAAAGAAAGACGUGCUCUUUAAGCAGCCAGCAGCUCAUGGGUGACCAAGGGCUGACUCUGGUUUUGUAAGGGCCGUCUGGGUGCCCGUGUUGUGCCCGAUGCCACCCAAGAGGGUCCCCAGCCCUCCCCAGGAGCCCGGGAGUGCCCAAGCGGCCCUCUCAUCAUCACUACGGUCCUACAAUGCCCAAAACAAUUCCAGACCCAAACACGCAGCAAGACCACAGGCCCCGGCACCUCCCACAGGAUUAAGAGCCGGGAAAGCGCUUUGCUGGGUGGCUCUGGUUGGGUUCUCUUAGGGGAAAUCAGAAGCAGCUCAGGGCAUCUGGGUUUGUUCCUGCUUCUGCCCCAGGGACCCCAGGAACCCUCCGAGCUCCUGACCGUCCAUAAUUAACCCCAGGCUGCUCUGCAAAGCUGCAGCCCCGCCAAAGCCACGCCUCGGUUCCCAAGCUUCAGGACCAGCCCGGGGUUUGCUGUGACGGAGGAGCACGGCAGCGCAGGCUGUGAUGGGAACGGAUGGAGGUGCCCCAGGUGGAGCCACUGUCUGGAACCAAAGGAAAACACCAGGCCCCCUUCCAGCGUCCACAGGCCAUUGAGCGACAGCCUCACUGAGGCACGUGCUGAGCCCGUGAGCCACGCAGGAAGCAGGGGUGGGCACGUCGCAAACACGCUCCGGGGCUUAACAGGAUUGGAAAAUUCUAGCUCUGCCUCUCAAGACGUUAAGCGUUCCUCUCUUCUGGAGGCAACCAGAACCCAAUCGCUCUGGCACGUCUUCGGGUACAAAGAGCGUGGGAAUGUUUCGCGCGAGGAAAGAGGUCACAGGGUGAUUUUUCAUAAAAGCGGGGAUUCUGGGAACGAGAGCCACGAGUUUCCACAGAUCGCCAUCGGCCUGGCCUCAGAUCUCAGGCUUCCUACCUGUGUUGAGUUCAGACCACCCUCCUCCAGCUCCCCCCUCCCCCCGACCACCCCACAAAAGCAAGCUCUUUGCACAACUCAUUUCCUGUGCCUUUGUGGAGGCCAGGGCCCUGGACGUUCUGGGCUCAUUUAUGAAAAUGGGGGAGCUAAUUAGGACAUCUUUGGAAAUCACGCUCCCCCCCGCCUCGCCGGCCCCCACCGGCCCUCUCAUUUCAGGGGGCUGGGCUGUGGCGGCUGCUUACAUAUAUGCCUCUUCCUGGAAUUUCACUCUUUGCUUCAGGAGUGGGCAAUUAGAGAGAAUUAAGGCCUAUUUGGCGUAUGCGUACCAUUAAUGGACAGAGCCACGGAGGCAGCCUUGGGAAAGGCAGUCGGCGGGUCUAAGAGAAGCUGGCAAUUUUUCGAUUCCUCCUUCCAGCUCACAGGUAUUGUAGCAACCAAGGUCACCAAACAAAGGCCGCAGCCCAGCACGGCGAUCGCCAGGCGCAGGCCCACUUCUGGGCGCUGUUUAUCACCACACACUGAAGCACAAAGACAGGCCGAGGGCUGCUUGCAAAUCGGAGCCCGAGAUGGGCAGCCAGGGGAGGCCCAGCCACUGAUGGCUUUUUCAGAAAGUUCUCAGCUGAGCGAGCCGGGGCGCCAACAGAGGUGUUGCCGAGGGUCUCGUGACGAAAAGGCCGUGCAGCCGGCCACAACCUCCCGGGGCCGUGGCCACAGGGCCAGGCCCACAACGAGGCCCAGCAAGGUGCUCCAGGCCUGGCUGGCGGCCCACCUGUUUGGAAGACGGUUCCGCAAAGUGCAAUCCCUGUCCCACAGCACGUGGGCAGCCCCUGGCAGCUGAUUCUGUGCCUGAGUCCUGCGUGUUCACAAAACGCUGACCGUGAGGACUGGCCAGGGACGGUCACCCAGUUGCUCAGCCAUGGGCCGUGGGCUUCACGUACAGGGCCAGCCAACUCUGGCCCCUCCUGUGUCUGGUUUCCUCAUCUCCAAAGCAGAAAGGCUUGGAAGGCAGAGGCCCAGUGACAUCCAGCCCUUGGGCUCUAAACACACGGCACCCACUGAGGCAGCGAGACGCUACCCAGAGUCCCAGGGGCCCUCGGGCGACUGAACGCCUACACUGCCCCAUUUCACAGAUGGGAAGACUGAGGCCCGGGGGGCUGGAGACACGGGCCAAGGUCAUCCCCAUGGUGGGAGCUGAGCAGAGGCUGGGGCCGGGUCUCUAGAGCUGCCACCUGAACACCCGAUUUGAACUCUCUCCCCUAGAGUUCCCUGGUGGCCUAGUGGGUUAAGGAUCCAGCACUGUCCCCUCUGUGGCUCGUGUCACUGCUCUGGCACUGGUUUGGUCCCUGGUCCAGGAAUUUCCAAAUGCCGUGGGCAUAGCCAAAAAAAAAAAAAAAAAAAAUCUUUUGAACUCUCUUCCCUGACUGGCAAGGCCUGAGCAGCAGGGUUGUGCCCUGCUCCCAGCCGGGAGGCCAGUGAAGGCCCAGUCUGGAUGCCAGGGAACCUCAGACCCCUCCUAUGGCAAAAGGGCACUCGCUUUCCAGCACUGACCUCCCCUGCUGCUUCUGCACCUGACAGGCUACUGUCUCAUUUUACAGGAGGGGAAACCGAGGCCCAGACACCACAGUGACAAUGACAGUGGCCAAGACCUGGUCCCUGGACUCGUCCCCCCAACUCAUGGCAGGGCCUUUGCCCCUGACUCCCCCAGAGG